rnacentral:rRNA from 1 species
UAGGGAAUCUUCGGCAAUGGGGGGAACCCUGACCGAGCAACGCCGCGUGAGUGAAGAAGGUUUUCGGAUCGUAAAGCUCUGUUGUUAAGGAAGAACGAGUGUGAGAAUGGAAAGUUCAUACUGUGACGGUACUUAACCAGAAAGGGACGGCUAACUACGUGCCAGCAGCCGCGGUAAUACGUAGGUGGCAAGCGUUGUCCGGAUUUAUUGGGCGUAAAGCGAGCGCAGGCGGUCAAUUAAGUCUGAUGUGAAAGCCCCCGGCUCAACCGGGGAGGGUCAUUGGAAACUGGUUGACUUGAGUGCAGAAGAGGAGAGUGGAAUUCCAUGUGUAGCGGUGAAAUGCGUAGAUAUAUGGAGGAACACCAGUGGCGAAGGCGACUCUCUGGUCUGUAACUGACGCUGAGGCUCGAAAGCGUGGGUAGCAAACAGG